AGCAACAAAUGCCCUGCUUCCAGGAAAAGCCUCUAAGCAUCAGGUAACAUCAAAUCGUACCCCAAACCGACACAGGUGGUCAGGUAGAGAAUACCAAGGCGCUUGAGAGAACUCGGGUGAAGGAACUAGGCAAAAUGGUGCCGUAACUUCGGGAGAAGGCACGCUGACACGUAGGUGAAGUGAUUUACUCAUGGAGCUGAAGUCAGUCGAAGAUACCAGCUGGCUGCAACUGUUUAUUAAAAACACAGCACUGUGCAAACACGAAAGUGGACGUAUACGGUGUGACGCCUGCCCGGUGCCGGAAGGUUAAUUGAUGGGGUCAGCGCAAGCGAAGCUCCUGAUCGAAGCCCCGGUAAACGGCGGCCGUAACUAUAACGGUCCUAAGGUAGCGAAAUUCCUUGUCGGGUAAGUUCCGACCUGCACGAAUGGCGUAAUGAUGGCCAGGCUGUCUCCACCCGAGACUCAGUGAAAUUGAACUCGCUGUGAAGAUGCAGUGUACCCGCGGCAAGACGGAAAGACCCCGUGAACCUUUACUAUAGCUUGACACUGAACAUUGAGCCUUGAUGUGUAGGAUAGGUGGGAGGCUUUGAAGUGUGGACGCCAGUCUGCAUGGAGCCGACCUUGAAAUACCACCCUUUAAUGUUUGAUGUUCUAACGUGGACCCGUAAUCCGGGUUGCGGACAGUGUCUGGUGGGUAGUUUGACUGGGGCGGUCUCCUCCUAAAGAGUAACGGAGGAGCACGAAGGUUGGCUAAUCCUGGUCGGACAUCAGGAGGUUAGUGCAAUGGCAUAAGCCAGCUUGACUGCGAGCGUGACGGCGCGAGCAGGUGCGAAAGCAGGUCAUAGUGAUCCGGUGGUUCUGAAUGGAAGGGCCAUCGCUCAACGGAUAAAAGGUACUCCGGGGAUAACAGGCUGAUACCGCCCAAGAGUUCAUAUCGACGGCGGUGUUUGGCACCUCGAUGUCGGCUCAUCACAUCCUGGGGCUGAAGUAGGUCCCAAGGGUAUGGCUGUUCGCCAUUUAAAGUGGUACGCGAGCUGGGUUUAGAACGUCGUGAGACAGUUCGGUCCCUAUCUGCCGUGGGCGCUGGAGAACUGAGGGGGGCUGCUCCUAGUACGAGAGGACCGGAGUGGACGCAUCACUGGUGUUCGGGUUGUCAUGCCAAUGGCACUGCCCGGUAGCUAAAUGCGGAAGAGAUAAGUGCUGAAAGCAUCUAAGCACGAAACUUGCCCCGAGAUGAGUUCUCCCUGAGACUUAGAGUCUCCUGAAGGAACGUUGAAGACGACGACGUUGAUAGGCCGGGUGUGUAAGCGCAGCGAUGCGUUGAGCUAACC
rnacentral:rRNA from 1 species